rnacentral:miRNA from 1 species
UGGUCAUGACUUCAGCAAUUUU